GAUGAACGCUAGCGGCAGGCCUAACACAUGCAAGUCGAGGGGCAUCGAGAUCAAAGCUUGCUUUGAUUGUCGGCGACCGGCGCACGGGUGCGUAACGCGUAUGCAACCUACCCAAAACAGGGGGAUAACACUGAGAAAUUGGUACUAAUACCCCAUAACAACAGAAGAGGCAUCUCUUUUGUUUGAAAACUCCGGUGGUUUUGGAUGGGCAUGCGUUGUAUUAGUUAGUUGGUGAGGUAACGGCUCACCAAGACGACGAUACAUAGGGGGACUGAGAGGUUAACCCCCCACAUUGGUACUGAGACACGGACCAAACUCCUACGGGAGGCAGCAGUGAGGGAUAUUGGUCAAUGGACGCAAGUCUGAACCAGCCAUGCCGCGUGCAGGAUGACGGCUCUAUGAGUUGUAAACUGCUUCUGUAUGAGGGUAAACUCACCUACGAGUAGGUGACUGAAAGUAUCAUACGAAUAAGGAUCGGCUAACUCCGUGCCAGCAGCCGCGGUAAUACGGAGGAUUCAAGCGUUAUCCGGAAUUAUUGGGUUUAAAGGGUGCGUAGGCGGUUUGAUAAGUUAGAGGUGAAAUGUCGGGGCUUAACCCUGAAACUGCCUCUGAUACUGUCGAGCUAGAGAGUAGUUGCGGUAGGCGGAAUGUAUGGUGUAGCGGUGAAAUGCUUAGAGAUCAUACAGAACACCGAUUGCGAAGGCAGCUUACCAAACUAUAUCUGACGUUGAGGCACGAAAGCGUGGGUAGCAAACAGGAUUAGAUACCCUGGUAGUCCACGCAGUAAACGAUGAUAACUCGCUGUCGGCGAUACACAGUCGGUGGCCAAGCGAAAGCGAUAAGUUAUCCACCUGGGGAGUACGUUCGCAAGAAUGAAACUCAAAGGAAUUGACGGGGGCCCGCACAAGCGGAGGAACAUGUGGUUUAAUUCGAUGAUACGCGAGGAACCUUUACCCGGGCUUGAAAGUUACUGACGAUUCUGGAAACAGGAUUUCCCUUCGGGGCAGGAAACUAGGUGCUGCAUGGUUGUCGUCAGCUCGUGCCGUGAGGUGUCGGGUUAAGUCCCAUAACGAGCGCAACCCCUACCGUUAGUUGCCAUCAGGUGAAGCUGGGCACUCUGGCGGGACUGCCGGUGUAAGCCGAGAGGAAGGUGGGGAUGACGUCAAAUCAGCACGGCCCUUACGUCCGGGGCUACACACGUGUUACAAUGGUAGGUACAGAGGGCAGCUACCCAGUGAUGGGAUGCAAAUCUCGAAAACCUAUCUCAGUUCGGAUUGGAGGCUGAAACUCGCCUCCAUGAAGUUGGAUUCGCUAGUAAUCGCGCAUCAGCCAUGGCGCGGUGAAUACGUUCCCGGGCCU
rnacentral:rRNA from 1 species